rnacentral:sRNA from 1 species
CGAAUUAUCAUCAUUCCAUAGGAAUGGUGGGAUUGUUGAUGCGUCACUAAUUUAUCAAACCCGCCCAAGAGGCGGGUUUU